GGGUGUAAGGGCAAUCUGGCUGUGACACCUGUCACCCCACUGAUGGCCAGAGCUGAUUCAGCUGAUCUGGCUCACUAGAUGGGUGUCCCCUUCCUCCCUCAUUGCUCUAUGUGCAUCCCCUCCUGAAGCUGCAUGCUUGGUCAAAGAGGAUGACCUUCCCAGAUAGAGAAGGACCAUUAUUCCAUCAAGGGUAUAGGAGUAGCUGUGCUCCCCUGCUAGAAUCUCCAAACAAGCUCUCAAAGUGAUGUCAAAUAUACCUUUAUCUUGCAUGCGUUGCAACAGAGGUGGAGAAUAUAAAUGCAAACAGUCUUCAGGUUACAGACAACCCAACUGAUGGCAUUCUGUACCUAUGA
rnacentral:snRNA from 1 species